rnacentral:lncRNA from 1 species
GACCUAAACAAAUGCUUCUUAGCUUCCCCUCCCCCACUCCCAAUUAAGUCAGAUAAGAAGUAUAGAACUGGAGAUUUCCCUUCUCCCACAUGGAAAGCUAGAGGUGUCUAAAGUUGGGUAUUUCCCUUUCCCUGAAUUGGGUAGGCAGGAGGUUAGGCUCUGGUAAAAUAAUUUCUCUUGAGGCCAGGCUUUGUUAAGAAAUACAGAAUGCUCUGGUGUAUUUCAAAAUGGUUCCUUUUCCUCUCCCCAUGCUGGAAACAUGAGAUUUUGGUUUUUUUCUUCUCAAUCUUCACUAUGAGAACCUGGUAGGGCUCCUAGAGAUAAAACUCAGAAAAGGGAGGGGAUCCAUUUUUGAUACCCCUCCAAGGUUUUGUUUUUAAAGUAUUCGUCAAGACCGAAUAUAUUCAAAGUGUACAUGAUUUAAUAUACAUAUAUUGUGUGAUAAUUACUACAAUCAAAUUAACAUAUCCAUCACCUUCCCCCACAACAAGUUAACUCUCAGAUUUGUUCACAUUGAGCUUCCAGCAGUUUAUCAAUUAUAGCUUAGGUUUUUCCUACUCUGCCCUUUGUUCCCACGGAGGUUUCUGCUUGUUCCCAGUAAGUUGUGAUUCUCUGUAUCCACGUGUCUUUCUCCAAUUUGGGGGGCUUCAGUUUGCUCUGUGACCUCCAUUCUCUGAUGGAUCUAAGAAGAGUUGUUGAUUUUCAGUUUGUUUAGCUAUUUGUUAGGACAGAGUGACAACUUUCAAGCUCCUUACAUGCUGCAUCAGAAACCAGAAGUCCAUUGGUUUUUUACAAAUAGUAUUUAUCAACCUUUAAUAAAUCAUAAAAUUUACUUAGUAUAUUUAUCUUUUGCUUGCCUUACUAGAAUGUAACUAUGGUCUGUUAUGUUUGCUAACAUAUCCUGCACCUAAAUCAGCGCUCAGCAUGUUGGUGAGUGCUCAGGUAUUUGCUGAAUGAUAUACACACUGAUUCUUCCUAAGAAACGAGAUAUAAAAAAUACCAGUUGGGCACAGUGGCUUAUGCCUGAAAUUUAGAAGACUGAGGUGGGAGGAUCACUUGAGCCCAGGAGUUUGAGACCAGCCUGGACAACAUAGCAAGACCCUGACUCAAAAUGAUGAUGAUGAUGAUAAUAAUAAUAAUAAUAAUAAUAAUAAUAAUAAUAAAAUUAGCUGGGUAUGGUAGUGUGUGCUUGUAGUCCCCCCGUUACUCAGGAGACAAGAGGUGGGAGGAUCACUUGAGCCCAGGAGUUGGAGGCUGCAGUGAGCUAUGAUCAUGCCACUGCACUCCAGCCUGGAUGACAGAGCAAGACACCAUUUAAAAAAAAAAAAAGAAAGAAAAAGAAAAAAUGUAUCUUAGACUUUCCUAGGAAAGUCAUAGAAAAAAAAAAUGAACUUGAAUGGUAGACUCAUACAUCAACCAUACUACAAAAGACAACUGUGGUAACUUUUAAUUUGCAUUUAUAUAUAUUGCAGGACACCUGGCUUCCUUGGUCUUGGAACAAAUGCAAUCUGGCUGCAAUACCUGUCAUUCCUUUUUUCCCCCUGGAUUCAUCUAAGCCAAUCAGAUUGGCUAGCCAGGAGGCCCUCUUUCUUAAUUAAUGCUGCAUGCACAGCUCCAAUCUCUCCUAAAGCUGAAUUUUCAGAAAAGAGAAUGUGAUCGUGGCUAAAGCAGCAUCACCAAGUCACAAAAUCACAGUCAAUGUGAUAGAAUCAAAAGAAUACUAUACUAGGAGAGGUGGUCCCCAGUACCCCUAUACUGUUUAUCUGACAGUCGGCUUAAAAACCUUUUGAUUUGGUUACUUUAAAAUGGGAUAAUGUCUUAUCUUCCUAAGAGAAAGGCGGCAGUCUAUGUAAUUUUUUUGAAACUACAACUCUAAAGUCAUUGUCCAAGACAAAAAUUGUAUUUGAUAUUCUCCCUAUAAACAUGAAAGAUCCCAAACAAAAAUAACAGCAAUUAAGUAUGCAAAUUAUAGAUUAUACACUUAAGUCUUGCACUUUGUGGCUUUAAUCUUGCAUUUGGUUUAAAAGGAUGAGGAGGAAAGAAAUGUGAAACUAAUCAAAUUUAUGGCUAUUACAAUAUAUGCUUUUUCAAGUUAGAUGAUUAAUGGGAGAAAAGUUGUGUUUGAUAUGGCUUUCACCUGGUUAGCCUAUUUUAGUCAAAGCCCCACUUUAUCAGCUUUCACCUGGCUAGCCUAUUUCAAUUAGCCUAGUGCAGACAUCAUGUUUUAGAUGGUGAGGCAAUACAGUGGAGUAGAAAGAAUACUGAUUAAGGAGUGAAAGACUAAGGUUAUAAUUUCAAUGCUGAUAUGACGCUGCAUCAAUGUAUAACUCAUUCACUUGCCCUGGAUAUUCCCUGAAAAUAAAGUUAGAUUUACAUAGAAACCAAAGAAUCAGGAAAGGGAACAUGAGAUUCACUUAUUUGUCUAAAAUAAUACACAACUGAUCCUUAAAUAAACAAACUAAACUAAAACUAAAGAAGUGUAAAAAAUGAUUACCAACAUUGUCAUAACAAGUUUUUAAAGGUUUAAAAGAAACGUAGGUGCUUAACAACACUCAAUUUAACUUGUGGCCCAAAUGGAACGGUAGUAAUACAAAUUGUUUUAAAAAAUUUGCUCUUGGACACAUAAUAGUAUAUAGUAGAGAAAAGCUAUAAAAUAACUGCCAAGGCACACAGGCACAAGCAAACUCUUGUUGAACUCAAAUUGUUUUAAGGCUUCCUUUGGAAGAAUUGUUUACAGUACAGUAUUUUUUUUAAGUGGGUAUUUAGUAAAUAAUAUUCAAAUGUCCUACAAAUGUAAUUUCCAUGAAGAGUGGUAAAUGAAACAAAUAUACAUAUGUAUGGCUAUAUGCAUAUAAACUGAAAAACAGCAAUGCUUAAUUCUUAGAUAUCUCAUCUAUGCUAACACCUAAUGAAUAUGGUAACACUGAUCAUGCCCUGAGAAAAUUAACUGGAUAAAUUAUUGUACAAAAACAUAAAAUUUGAAAAAUUUUGCUUUUACAGUUCUCACCUGCAAUCCAAAUAAAUUAAGGGUUACCCAGAAUUAUUGGCUGUACAGUAUUCUUUUGAAGUGCACAUCAAAGGCCAAAAUCUGUAAAUUUAUGACUUGCCUCUAAGUUGAUGAUCACAGAAAGAAAAAAAGAAAAGUCAUCUCCAAACAUUUUGUUAGAAAACAGUGAUUACCUCAAAUCUAGGUUCAUCCAUGAAUCUUCAAUGUUAACAUUUUAGUCUCUAUAAAGGCAAUCAAUGUUCUCACUUGCCCCAAGAUGUCCUUUAUUCCACAGUCACGGGAGGUGCUUUGGAGGUUAGAAAAAUCGAACUCUGAGUUAAAUCAGAUAUUCUUACUUUUUAAAAAGUAGAUUACUCAAAAUAGGUGUGAAUUCCAUUAGUUUGUGAUCUAAGGGCAAAAUUUUCUAUGUGUCCAUAGUGCGUGUUUGACAACAGAAGAUAUAGAAUAAAUAUUUAAUUUUGCACUAAUGAACAGUGCUAGUUAAAAGACAUGGAAUACAUAAUAAAUAAAAUUCAGCAAAAUAUAAUGGUCCCAAAUCAGGGAAAAUCAGAGAAGAACUUGACAAACUGGUCACCUGCUUGAGUUGAGACACAUAAAGUUCACUUUUGUUUAUAUUUUUCACCUUCAUGAUUUUUAUCCCUUUUCUCCUCUUUCAUAUAUUCGUAUGUACACAAGUGUAUACACAUGGUACAUCUUUACAUUUCAAAACAAACCCCAAACACUGUGUGCACUUCUGCCAUAAGAAAUAUGGCAAUUGAGAGUCUAAAACACUGAGCAUUAAAAAUCCACCCCACUCUUGCUCUAGAAAAUAAAUUUCAUUAAAAUUGGGGUUUCCAACUAAUUUUCAAAGUGAUACAAUCUAAACUAAAAAAUCCAAACAUUUAGAUUCUUUAAUCUCAACAAGGAAAUUAUUCAAUCAAAUAAAAUAUUUUUUAAAAAGAUCUGGACAUUUACAAUGCCUGCUUUGGAAGAUAAUAUUUAUAUGUUCUCAGGGGUAUAACUCAGGGGUAGAGCAUUUGACUGUAUGUAUGUUCUCAGAUAUAUGCACUUCUAAUUUGAAUAAAUUACGCAGUCUUUAAAAAAUUCCGGUAAAAAAGAUUAACAGUCUAAUCACUUCAAUCUACUAAAGCAUUACAGAGCCAAUAGUCUAAUCAUUUAAAUGUAAUUUAUUUUUAUAUUUUAUAACAGUAUUCUUUUCAAGUCAGAAUAUUUUGUGUGUCUGUUUUAGAACUGGGCCCCUCCAAAAUACAGUUAUUCUCUUCCUAGGCCUAAAUUUUGCUAAUAAAGCUAAGACUAUGAAAAAAAAUCUAAUUCUUUAACUGGAUCAGGUAAGCCAGUCUGAGUUGCAGAUGAGUUAAAAACUAGACCUAGUAGUUAUCUCAAACCCAAUCUAUUCCACAAGGUUAACCACAAAAUAAAGGAAGAGUUAAAGAGCAAAAUGAAGAGGGAAAACCCAGCAUAAACAGGUUAAUUAAAUAAUUAAAAGUCUGGAAAAGAGCGGUAAAAUUUUUUUAAUGCAGAAAAAUAAGCUCAAUCCUUAACAUGUUAUUUCUAAAGAGAAGAUUUAAGGGAAUUAAAUCUAAAUAAAGAGGAUAAGCAGUCCUAUACUGCCCUUAACAUUCUCCAUCUGGCAUCCUCCACCCCAAUUCUUUAAGGAAAUACAAUUUCUCACCUCUACUACAGCUACUUCUUGAUUUUUGGAGUUCAUCAGGGAUUCCAUCUUUUUCCCAUCCUACAUGAUCUCCCUAGGGAAUCCUUGUUUCAAUUACCAUCUAUAUGUUGGAUCAUCUGUUUCCAGGCCUAACUUCCUAACAUGUAUGUAUCCAAUUGCUUACCUGGUAUCUCCACUUGAUGUUCCACAGGCUCUAAAACACAUUUUCUUCCUACCUCUAAACAAACCAAAAGAAUCUGGUCCUCUGCCAAGUUUCCUUAGUUUAGUAAAUACACCCAGAUGCUUAAGCCACUAAUCUGGGAGUAUUCUUUGAUCCUUAGUCAUUUUACCCACUCAAUCAUUACUUCUUACUAAUAUGUAUUGCUAAGACUCCCUUAAGGGUCAUUCUUUCCACCCCAUUACUAAAAUUUCAAUCAAAGUCACUGUCAUCCAUCAUCUGGAUUACUCUAACAGUCUCUCAUCUGGCCUCUUGGUCUCUAGUUGUGAUAUCCUUCAAUCUAUUCUUCUCAAGGUAGCCACAGUGGUUUUUAAAAAUACAUAUUAAAGAAUGAUACCAGGAAAGAUGACAAUUAAUCACAUUGUGCAAAGGACUAAAAUUUGUUGUCUUCCUUAAGUUUUCUUCAGCCAAUUAAAUAGUUAUCAUUGGGUAUUAUCUCCUUUAUCCUCAUAGCUUUUGUUUUUGUGAAACAUUUUAGAACACAAACUUACAUAAUUAGCCAAUACUACAACUUACUUUUCUAGGAAACCUGCACUCAAUUUCCACCUUUAGUUACCAUGACAUCCUAAACAGCUGAGUCAGAGCAAACUUUCUUAUAAAAGUUUACAAAAGAAAACAAAAACAUUUUCUUUACAGAACAUGGAGAUCAUGAUAAAAAUACUAUUAGGACUAGAAGGCUCAGAGAAUGGAAGAAUGACUUCUAAGAAUUCAUUUCUCCAUUAUAGAGCACAGUCUUCAUGACAGGAUAUAACAACAACAACAAAAAAAACCCUGACAUUUAGGGUUUUAAAAAUAAUAAUAUAUAAACAACAUAAACAACUAUAAUGAAGGACACCACUGACCGUAUCAAAUACUAUGUUGCAUGUUUUUGUGCACUUAUUUCUGUAUACCUUCUACAUGCCAUUUGCUGUUUCAAAGUUCUCCAGAAGAAUUUCAUAAUAGUAAAAAGUCAUUUCUCUCAGUUCCACAUUUUUAUGGUUUCAUGACACUGCAAAGACUGACUUCAGGUCCAGCUUCAGUUACACACAGCAUUAGAAAUCUUUUCAAAGACUCUAUGGCAGAACAUUUACAAAUACAUUAUUUCCAUUGAAUAACAAUACAGAAUGACUUACUAAAAUGGCCAUUUUUAUAAAGUCGAAAUAAUCAACAAUAUAAUUCAAGUUCAAAGUACAUUAUUUGAAGGCUAUUUAUACCUUUUAGCCUUGAAUCAUAAUUCAGAAUAGCUAAGUAUUUAACACAGUACAAGCCCUGUUAAACAUCAGUGGAAACCUGAUCUUUACCUGGAGAAAAAUCCAAACUGUUAAAUACAUCAUCAUGUUCUUAUUUAGCAAUUAUAAGAUAACUUUCUGAACUAUGUUAAAAAUGAGUUUUGAGGUGGAAGAAGAGACAAACAGCAAAUGUGAAAAAAACUAUAUUAGUAUAUUUUUCUAUUCAAGACUAAUAUUAAAAUAAAUUAUUUGAUCCACACAUAAAACAUUUUUAGUAGUGGACAUCAGGUUUUAAGUACUAGCUAAAUGGACAGAUUUCUUGAAUAAUAAUUUCUUCGAAAUCAUAAAAAGAAAAUGGUAUAGAUGGCUGAUGCAGAUGCUACUUGUAUAUUGUUUGAUCAGACCAGUGGAAGGUUAAAUUCUCCAUAAUGCUUUAAAAACUAUAUUUUCAUUUUAAGAAACAACAUAAGCCGGGUGCGGUGGCUCAUGUCUGUAAUCCCAGCACUUUGGGAGGCCAAGGCGGGCAGAUCACGAAGUCAGGAGAUCAAGAACAUCCUGGCUAACACGGUGAAACCCCGUCUCUACUAAAAAUACAAAAAAAUUAGCCAGGUGUGGUGACAGGCACCUGUAGUCCCAGCUACUCAGGAGGCUGAGGCAGGAGAAUAUAAUAGUGUGAUCCCGGGACGUGGAGCUUGCAGUGAGCCAAGACUGCACCACUGCACUCCAGCCUGGGCUACAGAGCAAGACUCUGUCUCAAAAAAAAAAAAAAAAAGAAAGAAAGAAACAACAUCAAUAAUUAUAAAAGGCAAAUUAGAUAACACAGAACAUCUAAAUGAUGACGGUCACUGAUAAAGCACCCAAAAACUCUCAUUAGAUUUUCCAAGUAAGAUGAUUUUUUGGAGUACCUAUAAUAUAUAAAAUGCUUCUAAUGCCAUUUAAAUAUUAUUACAUCAUAAGGAUUCCUAGGAUGGAACUCUAAUAAUUUGCACAAAGACAGAAUCUCCCCUCUAGCCAAACUUGCGCCAUUGUGCAAGAAACAAACAAAAAAAAGCUCCUUCCUUAAGGUUCUUAACUGUCAGAAAUGUGACAUAAUAUAUUGAUUUUGUUAGAACAAGAAACUUUACCAACACCUGCUAAAAAAAACUGUGAUAAUAUACAAAUCUAUGAUGUGAAUGAACAUCACCCCCAACAUGUUAUGCUGUUGUAUACCGCACAAACCGCAAAAGCUGUAUAAGGCAUGCCCUGCCCCAACUACUCUAAACAGUAGAGGCUACUCCUCCUACCAAACUUGGAAACGUUUCCAGUCUGAAAUACUAUAAACUAUUAUCCAGAUGAAGUCUUGAUCACAAACAGGUAUUUAAAUUCAAAACCGCUUAUAUUCAGAACUUAUAAUGUCAGUGGGAUAUUUAAUAAGUGUAUACAAAAGAAAGUAUUUUUUAAGGGUAAUGAGAACUAACUCCAGUUUUUAAAAAUUAAAAAAAUCCCUUAUUUUUAAAGUCAUUUUUCAAAGUGAAAAAAUAAACCCAGAAAUUUUUCUCAGAAAGGCCUUCUAUUCAAUAACAAAGUACUGAUAACUAUUUUAUAAAACAUUCUCAUAUUUGCCUAAUGUAACAAUGUUCAAGAUACCCCCUUAGAUACCAAGACAAUGUCACAACUCUGGCACAUUCAAAUUCUCCAAGAUUACAUAAUCAACUAAAGAUUGCCAUGCGUUUCCCAAUGACUCCUAAAGACUAAACUACUCAAAAGAAUAAGGCAAGAGAUAAGUUUUAGCUAAGACAUCUGAUACACUAUCUUAUCCUCUGAUCAAGGCAGAAGGAGAUCUUUCCUCACAAGUAAUUCAUUUUAAAGUUUAUAGAUUUCAGGAAUGUAUACUUCUCCAGUUUAUUUUGAAUUAUGCUAUCCACUUUUAUCUAAUUUUAAUCAUGCAAGAGUGAUCAUAUAUUCUGAUUUCCUGAGACCAAUGUUGUGCUGUUGGCCCUAUAUAACUAUUGGUAGUGCCCCCUUUUCAUUUCAGAAGUGUCUACUUUUAUAUACUUAGUUACUAUACAUUCCUAUUAAUAAACAAUUAUAAAUUCUGCAAGGUGAAAUUUGGAUUCAAUACACAUGGCUUAGCAAUAACAGAUGAGGCUGGGCGUGGUGGCUCACACCUGUAAUCCCAGCACUUUCAGAGGCUGAGGUGGGCGGACCACGAGGUCAGGAGAUUAAGACCAUCCUGGUUAACAAGGUAAAACCUCAUCUCUACUAAAAAUACGAAAAAUUAGCUGGCCGUGGUGGCAGGCACCUAUAGUCCCAGCUACUUUGGAGGCUGAGGCAGGAGAAUCGCUUGAACCCGGGAGGCGGAAGUUGCAGUGAGCUGAGAUCACGCCACUGCACUCCAGCCUGGGUGACAGAACGAGACUCUGUUUCAAAAAAAAAAAGGAAAAAAAAAAAGGAAGUAACAGAUGAAAAGCAAAAGGUUAUAACAAAAAUUUACAGAAAAUCUAGAUAAAUUUUAAUGUAUAAUAACUUAUCUAUUUUAAAUGAUUCAAGCUACACAAUUAGAUAAAUUAGAAAUUUGCAAUUACAUUUUUUAGAGAUCAUUCCCAUUGCAAUACCUACAUUUUAAGUACAAAUAAAUGUUUUAUGUGUAUUUUCCCUUCCUGUAUCAUCUACUGUUUUCACUUGUAUCUAUAAAGUUCAUAAAUUAUUUAGCACUUCCUCCUUUCUGUAUAAAAUAAUCAUGUGGGAUUUAGAAAGUAUUAAACUCAGAAAAGGACAGCUUGGCAUUACCAUUGCCAUUUUUCUGCUACAUAUUAACAAAAAGCAAAGUUUAGAGCAAUGUUUUUAUAAUGUAACAUCCUCGGACAUUCUUAUUUUAUUUGCUGAGUCUCAUGGAGAGACUAAAUAUAAUUUCUUUAAAGGAAAGGAAAAUUUUUGGAUAUGCCAAUUAGUCCCAUUGCAGUUUCAGGAAAAAGUAUUAGCUCAUAUGUAGUCUUCAACAAUAUCCCUUAUUAUAUUCAAACUAUUUAAAUAUUAAAUAUCUUGAUUUCACAGGGAUAUCUUAAUCAGAGUCCAUUUUAGUUUCUUGGGAAAUAAUGAAAUUUGUGGGCUCUCACAAGGUGACAGCCUACAGAGGAUAUACAUUUUAUACUUCUUUAAAAUUUUUUAUAACUUGUCAUUAUAUUGUUUACACACAGCAUGACUUCUACAUGUAAGACUGAUCGUUUUACAUUACUGUUACAGAUUAACAUAAAGGUGGAACAAAAAUGCUUUAAAAACCAUAUUUUCAUUUUAAGAAACAAUAACCAUUUUUUUUAAGAAAAGACAUUUAGUUACUACCUUUAAAGUUCAAGUCCCAACAUCUUAAUAUAUAAACACACCUGGAUACGAGAUUUAAAAAACCACACAAACACACAAGCUCUAGGUAGAGCUGUAAUAAACAAAUUCCUUUUAUAAACAAAAUUUUAACUGAA